rnacentral:rRNA from 1 species
UACGAAGGGGGCUAGCGUUGUUCGGAAUUACUGGGCGUAAAGCGCGCGUAGGCGGACAUUUAAGUCAGAGGUGGAAUCCCGGGGCUCAACCCCGGAACUGCCUUUGAUACUGGGUGUCUAGAGUAUGGUAGAGGUGAGUGGAAUUCCGGGUGUAGAGGUGGAAUUCGUAGAUAUUCGGAAGAACACCAGUGGCGAAGGCGGCUCACUGGACCAUUACUGACGCUGAGGUGCGAAAGCGUGGGGAGCAAACAGG